rnacentral:rRNA from 1 species
UGGGAAUCUACCCAAUUCUACGGAACAACUGAGGGGAAACUUCAGCUAAUACCGUAUACGCCCUACGGGGAAAGAUUUAUCGGAAUUGGAUGAGCCCGCGUUGGAUUAGCUAGUUGGUGGGUAAUGGCCUACCAAGGCGACGAUCCAUAGCUGGUCUGAGAGGAUGAUCAGCCACACUGGGACUGAGACACGGCCCAGACUCCUACGGAAGCAGCAG